GCGAAAUUCCUUGUCGGGUAAGUUCCGACCUGCACGAAUGGCGUAACGACUUCCCCGCUGUCUCAACCAUGAGCUCGGCGAAAUUGCAGUACGAGUAAAGAUGCUCGUUUCGCGCAGAAGGACGGAAAGACCCCGGGACCUUUACUACAGCUUGGUAUUGGCGCCCGCUAUAGCUUGUGCAGGAUAGGUGGGAGACUGUGAAGCCGUUACGCCAGUGGCGGUGGAGUCGUCCUUGAAAUACCACUCUGGUUAUGGCGUGCGCCUGAACCUGGGCCCGUGAUCCGGGUUAGGGACAGUGCCUGGUGGGUAGUUUAACUGGGGCGGUUGCCUCCUAAAGUGUAACGGAGGCGCUCAAAGGUUCCCUCAGCCUGGUCGGCAACCAGGUGUUGAGUGCAAGUGCACAAGGGAGCUUGACUGUGAGACCGACGGGUCGAGCAGGUACGAAAGUAGGAACUAGUGAUCCGGCGAUCCCGUGUGGGUGGGUCGUCGCUCAACGGAUAAAAGGUACCCCGGGGAUAACAGGCUGAUCCUGCCCAAGAGUCCAUAUCGACGGCAUGGUUUGGCACCUCGAUGUCGGCUCGUCGCAUCCUGGGGCUGGAGCAGGUCCCAAGGGUUGGGCUGUUCGCCCAUUAAAGCGGUACGCGAGCUGGGUUUAGAACGUCGUGAGACAGUUCGGUCCCUAUCCUCUGCGCGCGCAGGAGACUUGAGAAGGCCUGUCCCUAGUACGAGAGGACCGGGACGGACGAACCUCUGGUGUGCCAGUUGUCCCGCCCGGGGCACGGCUGGUUGGCUACGUUCGGGAAGGGUAACCGCUGAAAGCAUCUAAGCGGGAAACCAUCUUCAAGAUAAGGUCUCCACAGGAAGGACUUGUCCUUUUUGGUAGGCCCCCAGCAGACUACUGGGUUGAUAGGCCAGAAGUGGAAGACCGGCAACGGUUGUGAGCUGACUGGUACUAAUAGGCCAACACAAACAACAA
rnacentral:rRNA from 1 species